rnacentral:rRNA from 1 species
GGAGGAAAAGAAACCAACAGGGAUUGCCCUAGUAACGGCGAGUGAAGCGGCAACAGCUCAAAUUUGAAAUCUGGCCUCCUUUGGUGGUCCGAGUUGUAAUUUGCAGAGGGUGCUUUGGCGUCGGCAGCGGUCUAAGUUCCUUGGAACAGGACAUCACAGAGGGUGAGAAUCCCGUACGUGGUCGCCUGCCUUCGCCGUGUAAAGCCCCUUCGACGAGUCGAGUUGUUUGGGAAUGCAGCUCUAAAUGGGAGGUAAAUUUCUUCUAAAGCUAAAUACCGGCCAGAGACCGAUAGCGCACAAGUAGAGUGAUCGAAAGAUGAAAAGCACUUUGGAAAGAGAGUCAAACAGCACGUGAAAUUGUUGAAAGGGAAGCGCUUGCAGCCAGACUUGCCCGCAGUUGCUCAUCGGAUCUUUUGCUCCGAGCACUCUUCUGCGGGCAGGCCAGCAUCAGUUUGGGCGACCGGAUAAUGGCCUCUGUCAUGUAUCUUCCUUCGGGAUGACCUUAUAGGGGAGGCGUAAUGCGGCCAGCCCGGACUGAGGUCCGCGCAUCUGCUAGGAUGCUGGCGUAAUGGCUGUAAGCGGCCCGUCUUGAAACACGGACCAAGGAGUCUAACAUCUAUGCGAGUGUUUGGGUGUCAAGCCCGGGCGCGUAAUGAAAGUGAACGGAGGUGGGAACCCUCUCGGGGGUGCACCAUCGACCGAUCCUGAUGUCUUCGGAUGGAUUUGAGUAAGAGCAUAGCUGUUGGGACCCGAAAGAUGGUGAACUAUGCUUGAAUAGGGUGAAGCCAGAGGAAACUCUGGUGGAGGCUCGCAGCGGUUCUGACGUGCAAAUCGAUCGUCAAAUUUGGGCAUAGGGGCGAAAGACUAAUCGAACUAUCUAGUAGCUGGG